rnacentral:rRNA from 1 species
UACGUAGGGUGCAAGCGUUGUCCGGAAUUAUUGGGCGUAAAGAGCUCGUAGGCGGCUUGUCGCGUCGACUGUGAAAUCCCCCGGCUCAACCGGGGAAUGGCGCCUGAUACUGGCGGACUCGAGAUCGGUAGGGGUGAGUGGAACUCCAGGUGGAGCGGUGAAAUGCGUAGAUAUCUGGAGGAACACCGGUGGCGAAAGCGACUCACUGGACCGACACUGACGCUGAGGCGCGAAAGCCAGGGGAGCAAACGGG